rnacentral:rRNA from 1 species
CCCAGACUCCUACGGGAGGCAGCAGUGGGGAAUAUUGCACAAUGGGGGAAACCCUGAUGCAGCGACGCCGCGUGAGUGAGGAAGUAUUUCGGUAUGUAAAGCUCUAUCAGCAGGGAAGAAAAUGACGGUACCUGAGUAAGAAGCCCCGGCUAACUACGUGCCAGCAGCCGCGGUAAUACGUAGGGGGCAAGCGUUAUCCGGAUUUACUGGGUGUAAAGGGAGCGUAGACGGCCAGACAAGUCUGAAGUGAAAAUCCAGCGCUUAACGUUGGAAGUGCUUUGGAAACUGCCGGGCUAGAGUGCAGGAGGGGCAGGCGGAAUUCCUAGUGUAGCGGUGAAAUGCGUAGAUAUUAGGAGGAACACCAGUGGCGAAGGCGGCCUGCUGGACUGCAACUGACGUUGAGGCUCGAAGGCGUGGGGAGCAAACAGGAUUAGAUGCCCUGGUACA